UAUCAACCGACAUAUGUACUUCAGUUGACUUUGAUUCUCGCAGUCAAAGAGACGCAAUUCGUUUAUCAAACUGAAAUAGUCUAUACCUUCUGUUCACUUCCGCUAUGAAAAUUUGCAUAAUUCUCAUUUUGAUGCCAAUCAUAAUCGUUGGUACCAUGGCACUGAGCGAUUUUUGGCCUAAAGAGCUUCAAUCUUGGGUGCCUAUAACUCCAAAUAUCGAUACGCUAUUGGCUGCAGAUUUACGCGCUGGCAAUAAACGUGGACGAGGAAGGAAAGGGAUGAAUAAAGACAGCACGAAGGCCACGAAGACAAAACAGAUAACAGAUGAUGAUUUCAAUUCAAUUUUGAAAAAAUUUAUAAAAAAAUUGAUGCAAUGCAGAAAUCAAUGAAUGAGAGGCGCGAAUACGCGCGAAGAGGAAAAUUUAUGAUCGAUGUCUAGUUUCUGGGUCCACAAAUAUUGAAUAAUAAAUUAUCUAAAUAAUUGAAU